UACGUAGGGUGCGAGCGUUGUCCGGAAUUAUUGGGCGUAAAGAGCUUGUAGGCGGUUUGUCGCGUCUGCCGUGAAAAUUCGAGGCUCAACCUCGAACUUGCGGUGGGUACGGGCAGACUAGAGUGUGGUAGGGGAGACUGGAAUUCCUGGUGUAGCGGUGAAAUGCGCAGAUAUCAGGAGGAACACCGAUGGCGAAGGCAGGUCUCUGGGCCGAUACUGACGCUGAGGAGCGAAAGCAUGGGUAGCGAACAGG
rnacentral:rRNA from 1 species